AUGAAACACUUGCAAGCUCUGAAUUUUCUACACCCAGCAUGCAUUACCAUCUUGUCCCUGAGGUUGGUCUGGCCGUUGGUGAGCGCCUCCUCGAUGGCGAUCAGCUCCUUGGGCUGCAGGGAGUUCACAUCCUCGCCUUUCAUAUGCCUGCACUGUCAUCAGCCGCCGCAGUCGAGUCAUACUCACACAAACAUUGAAGAGCUGCAGAUAGAAUUGGAAAGAGAGAGAAAAUCGAAGCUGGAAGCUGGAUGGAACAACACUUGCCUGAGCUCGAUCUGCAUGUUGUCGUUCUCCUUCUUCACCCUGUCGAUCUCGGCGCUGAUGCUCUGGAAAAGAAACAUUUCCAGGGUUUUCAGACUCUGA
rnacentral:rRNA from 1 species